GCGGACCUCCGGGGCCGCUUAACCGAGGGUUCGAGAGAGCCCCCACAGCAACGGAAGACAGCAA
rfam:Pleomorphobacterium xiamenense strain CGMCC 1.10808 genome assembly, contig: Ga0079883_107